GACGAACGCUGGCGGCGUGCUUAACACAUGCAAGUCGAACGGAAAGGCCCUGCUUUGGUGGGGUGCUCGAGUGGCGAACGGGUGAGUAACACGUGAGUAAUCUGCCCUUGACUUUGGGAUAAGUUCAGGAAACUGGGGCUAAUACCGGAUAGGAGCUCCUUCUGCAUGGUGGGCGUUGGAAAGGUUCGUCGGUUGGGGAUGGACUCGCGGCUUAUCAGCUUGUUGGUGGGGUAGUGGCUUACCAAGGCUUUGACGGGUAGCCGGCCUGAGAGGGUGACCGGCCACAUUGGGACUGAGAUACGGCCCAGACUCCUACGGGAGGCAGCAGUGGGGAAUAUUGCACAAUGGGCGGAAGCCUGAUGCAGCAACGCCGCGUGCGGGAUGACGGCCUUCGGGUUGUAAACCGCUUUCGCCUGUGACGAAGCGAGAGUGACGGUAAUGGGUGAAGAAGCACCGGCUAACUACGUG
rnacentral:rRNA from 1 species